UGGGGGAUAAGAAGUAGCUAGAAUGAUUUUGGUUGUUUGCCACUUUUUUUCUUCUUUAGAAAAGUAUGCCUUAGAUAAGAUUUAUUUACAACUUGCUAGACACACAAAUGCUUCUAUGCCAUUGUAUGUUGAUCUCAUCUCUUAUCUCCUUUUUUGGAGUUCUCACGUGGACCUCUUAAAAUAAAUAUUCUUUACUUGACAACAUACCUCCAAGAUUGUAC
rnacentral:lncRNA from 1 species